rnacentral:lncRNA from 1 species
GGGGGCUGGAGGCGGCGGCGGCCCUGAGGGGAGCCGGGGCGGGGGGGGGGAAGGCGGCUGCCGCCUCUGUCGCCGCCGCCAGGGGCAGGGCUGCCCAAGUCCCUUCUCUCAGGGGCCUUGCAGACCCCGAUCUCUCCCCUUCUCCUCCUCCUCCGCCGCCUUCUUCAAGAAGAGGCCGGAUCUUCCCACCUUCCUGCUCGGGGUGAGGGAGCAGCAGCUGUGUGAGGCUCCCUCCAAGCCUGCUCCACGCUGUGACCCCCCCCCGCAGCGACUUGGAAAGCUUCGAGAGGGCAAGAUUUGAUAAAUAAAUGGAGCUGCUUUGGGAGCUUAACGAAGGCCCUCGCGUGGACGAGUCUCUGAAGCAGGAUGCCCACAACCGAGCAUUCGUUUCCCAAGGGAAAAAAGAAAAGGAGAAAGCAACCAUCAGUGAAAAACACCUUAUUCUACCCCUUGUUCUCAUGGGAGAGGAGACUUCGAAGCAGCUUUCUGGGAUCUUUUAUCCAGGCACGUUUUCAGGCUUAAACUGGGCAUGUCUGGCACAUUUGGGACAUGAGUUGGGAUCCACGUGCGAGACGACACGUGCAACAGCCUGAGCUCCACCGGGCUUUAGCAACGACGGUGUCCGAGCCCUCCCGAAAAAGCAGCUGACCUGCUGCUGGCGUUUCCCUGAUGGCAGAGGCUGCCCUCCAGGUUUCCGCCCUUCGGGACUUUGCGCAGGGACACGCAGGACGGAUGCCGCCAAGGGAGGAGAAGCUGGAGAAGGUAAGAGAGCGCCGGGCUGGUUGUGGGAGGAGGAGGAGGGCAGGUCCCACGGCGACGUGGAUGGAGCUGAGGCGCUGAGCCGCCAUCGCCCUCCCUUGGCCACGGCACCGUGGGGACGAGCCCAGGUCAGCGGGGCUCCCAGCCACUCUUCGUGCCUCAGUUUCCCACCAACACCGGGCACGGUUUGGGGAGCACCCGCAGCCGCUAGGGGGGGGCUCGGUGGUGCCAGGGUGGCCCCACCGCUGCCGAGGGGCUGGCAGCACUGAGCCCCCCCCUCCUCGCAGUUGCUCCCGGUCCCCCCUACUGCCACCGGAGCUGCGGCCCCCCAUCGUCUGCACCUGCCCCGGGUGCAGCAACUGCCGCAGGCGCCUGCUGUGCGCGGGGCCCCCACAGCUGUCCCCAAGGCUCAGCGUGGGGCUGCCUCCCCCCCCCCCCC